UACGUAGGGGCUAGCGUUGUCCGGAAUCAUUGGGCGUAAAGAGCGUGUAGGCUGCUCGGUAAGUCCGCUGUAAAAGUCAAAGGCUCAACCUUUGAAUGUCAGUGGAUACUGCCGGGCUAGAGUCCGGAAGAGGCGAGUGGAACUCCUGGUGUAGCGGUGGAAUGCGCAGAUAUCAGGAAGAACACCAACGGCGAAGGCAGCUCGCUGGGACGGUACUGACGCUGAGACGCGAAGCG
rnacentral:rRNA from 1 species